rnacentral:rRNA from 1 species
CGCUAGCUACAGGCUUAACACAUGCAAGUCGAGGGGCAGCAUGGUCUUAGCUUGCUAAGGCCGAUGGCGACCGGCGCACGGGUGAGUAACACGUAUCCAACCUGCCGUCUACUCUUGGACGGCCUUCUGAAAGGAAGAUUAAUACAAGAUGGCAUCAUGAGUCCACAUGUUCACAUGAUUAAAGGUAUUCCGGUAGACGAUGGGGAUGCGUUCCAUUAGAUAGUAGGCGGGGUAACGGCCCACCUAGUCUUCGAUGGAUAGGGGUUCUGAGAGGAAGGUCCCUCACAUUGGAACUGAGACACGGUCCAAACUCCUACGGGAGGCAGCAGUGAGGAAUAUUGGUCAAUGGGCGAGAGCCUGAACCAGCCAAGUAGCGUGAAGGAUGACUGCCCUAUGGGUUGUAAACUUCUUUUAUAAAGGAAUAAAGUCGGGUAUGCAUACCCGUUUGCAUGUACUUUAUGAAUAAGGAUCGGCUAACUCCGUGCCAGCAGCCGCGGUAAUACGGAGGAUCCGAGCGUUAUCCGGAUUUAUUGGGUUUAAAGGGAGCGUAGAUGGAUGUUUAAGUCAGUUGUGAAAGUUUGCGGCUCAACCGUAAAAUUGCAGUUGAUACUGGAUAUCUUGAGUGCAGUUGAGGCAGGCGGAAUUCGUGGUGUAGCGGUGAAAUGCUUAGAUAUCACGAAGAACUCCGAUUGCGAAGGCAGCCUGCUAAGCUGCAACUGACAUUGAGGCUCGAAAGUGUGGGUAUCAAACAGGAUUAGAUACCCUGGUAGUCCACACGGUAAACGAUGAAUACUCGCUGUUUGCGAUAUACUGCAAGCGGCCAAGCGAAAGCGUUAAGUAUUCCACCUGGGGAGUACGCCGGCAACGGUGAAACUCAAAGGAAUUGACGGGGGCCCGCACAAGCGGAGGAACAUGUGGUUUAAUUCGAUGAUACGCGAGGAACCUUACCCGGGCUUAAAUUGCAGAUGAAUUACGGUGAAAGCCGUAAGCCGCAAGGCAUCUGUGAAGGUGCUGCAUGGUUGUCGUCAGCUCGUGCCGUGAGGUGUCGGCUUAAGUGCCAUAACGAGCGCAACCCUUGUUGUCAGUUACUAACAGGUUCUGCUGAGGACUCUGACAAGACUGCCAUCGUAAGAUGUGAGGAAGGUGGGGAUGACGUCAAAUCAGCACGGCCCUUACGUCCGGGGCUACACACGUGUUACAAUGGGGGGUACAGAGGGCCGCUACCACGCGAGUGGAUGCCAAUCCCAAAAACCUCUCUCAGUUCGGACUGGAGUCUGCAACCCGACUCCACGAAGCUGGAUUCGCUAGUAAUCGCGCAUCAGCCACGGCGCGGUGAAUACGUUCCCGGGCCUUGUACACACCGCCCGUCAAGCCAUGGGAGCCGGGGGUACCUGAAGUGCGUAACCGCGAGGAGCGCCCUAGGGUAAAACUGG